rnacentral:rRNA from 1 species
UACGGGGGGGGCAAGCGUUGUUCGGAAUUAUUGGGCGUAAAGAGCUCGUAGGCGGUUUGUCGCGUCGAAUGUGAAAACCCGGGGCUCAACCCCGGGCCUGCAGUCGAUACGGGCAGACUAGAGUGCGGUAGGGGAGACUGGAAUUCCUGGUGUAGCGGUGAAAUGCGCAGAUAUCAGGAGGAACACCGGUGGCGAAGGCGGGUCUCUGGGCCGUAACUGACGCUGAGGAGCGAAAGCGUGGGGAGCAAACAGG